UACGUAGGGUCCGAGCGUUGUCCGGAAUUAUUGGGCGUAAAGAGCUCGUAGGCGGUCUGUCGCGUCGGCUGUGAAAACCCGGGGCUCAACUCCGGGCCUGCAGUCGAUACGGGCAGACUAGAGUUCGGUAGGGGAGACUGGAAUUCCUGGUGUAGCGGUGAAAUGCGCAGAUAUCAGGAGGAACACCGGUGGCGAAGGCGGGUCUCUGGACAGUUCCUGACGCUGAGGCACGAAGGUCAGGGGAGCAAACGGG
rnacentral:rRNA from 1 species